GGCUUUGGUUUCUCUCCAUUUAGCGUCAGCUGCUGGUUUGGGGUCAGAGAACCCUCCUGGAAUUUUCUCUACUGAGUGCUCUGGCUUCAAUGGGGCCAUGUUUUGCGCUCCCAUUGGCUGCACUGGCCUGCUUCCUGCUUCCGGCGGGCUGCUGUGUCAUAUGUGACGCUCGUAUUCUUGCGGCUCUAAAGUCCCUGGAGACGGAUUACCUGCCUAAACUCAUGGGUCCUGAUGAAGUGAAUAGCACGUAUGCUAUGAUAGUGCGGACCGUGAAGGGAUUCUCGGAUCUACCAUAUACUAAGCAAACCUAUAUGGGGGCCAUUGGUGAGAAAAGAUAUGAAACAGUGAUCACGAGUUUCCUGAAGAAUCUGAAAAACAUCACAGAAAGUAAAACAAAAGGGAAGCAGAGCGUUGAGAACCUGAAAGAGAUGUUGCGCCUCGAAAAGAUAAACUUUGCAUUCCACGCUUCUAAGUUUCAAAAAGAAGGCGUCAUGUUUCAGACUUUGAUCUGGUGCGACUACUGCAGUAAGCAGGUUCAACUUUGUARGAAGAAGACCGAAGAAUGUGGGGAUCGUGUUGAGGAGAUCCAUGAACACGAAGCUUUAAACUUGAACUGUUUUCUCGAUUGGCACAAAGAAGCUGUUGGCCUCACGAACUACGUCUUUUACAGGGUGGGGCCCUCCAACUCCUGUAACCCUUAAACCCCAAGUCCCUCAGGUGGGUAUGACCCCCUGGUCCCUGGAUGCCCUGGCCUGCACCCAACCCUCGUGGCCUAUUAGGUGAGGUCCCUCCUGACUCCCAGGCACCCCAAGCCCUUUUCAUCUAUGCCCUGGAUUCCUGCUCCCGGCAUUGAGUCCCCCAACCCCUAAAUUCCCCAGGCCUCUGUGAUAUUCUUGAGCUUGGGUCUAGGUUUGGGAGAACAAUUCAGAGACCGUGCUGUACAGYGGGAAGGAUCCAGUCUUUAAUAGGCCCUCCGCGUCUGUGAACGAUAGUGGCAAGUACCGCUGUGAGCUGGGCACUGUUUACAACAGGCUUUCCACGAUCAUUCAUUUUCUUGUCACAGUGUUACCCCGUGACCUGGAGGGCUGGAAGCCAACGGGUGAAUUCGCCCCGCCUAAGACGGAGGGGGGGAAGAAGGAAGUAACCCCGAGCCCAGAACCGGAGACCACGACUGCCAAGCACCAGGAGGUUAAGAGUAUGCUGAAAGGGCGCAUCUAUGGCCUGCUUAUCUGCUUACUUAUAAUCCUGAUAGCAGCCAUUAUCUUCUGGUGAGUCACCCUGGAAGGAAGGCAGAGCUUAGAGGGAGAGGUGAGGCUUCAUAUUGUCCAAACUCAGCUUGCAGAGCCAUUGAGUGACUUCUUGAAG